ACGAACGCUGGCGGCGUGCUUCACACAUGCAAGUCGCACGGAAAGGCCCUGCUUUUGUGGGGUGCUCGAGUGGCGAACGGGUGAGUAACACGUGAGUAACCUGCCCUUGACUUUGGGAUAACUUCAGGAAACUGGGGCUAAUACCGGAUAGGAGCUCCUGCUGCAUGGUGGGGGUUGGAAAGUUUCGGCGGUUGGGGAUGGACUCGCGGCUUAUCAGCUUGUUGGUGGGGUAGUGGCUUACCAAGGCUUUGACGGGUAGCCGGCCUGAGAGGGUGACCGGCCACAUUGGGACUGAGAUACGGCCCAGACUCCUACGGGAGGCAGCAGUGGGGAAUAUUGCACAAUGGGCGGAAGCCUGAUGCAGCAACGCCGCGUGCGGGAUGACGGCCUUCGGGUUGGAAACCGCUUUCGCCUGUGACGAAGCGUGAGUGACGGUAAUGGGGAAAGAAGCACCGGCUAACUACGU
rnacentral:rRNA from 1 species